rnacentral:miRNA from 1 species
UAGAAUAGGGGAGCUUAACUUG